UACGUAGGGUGCAAGCGUUAAUCGGAAUUACUGGGCGUAAAGCGUGCGCAGGCGGCUUUGUAAGUCAGAUGUGAAAUCCCCGAGCUCAACUUGGGAACUGCGUUUGAAACUACAAGGCUAGAAUAUGUCAGAGGGGGGGUAGAAUUCCACGUGUAGCAGUGAAAUGCGUAGAGAUGUGGAGGAAUACCAAUGGCGAAGGCAGCCCCCUGGGAUAAUAUUGACGCUCAUGCACGAAAGCGUGGGAGCAAACAGG
rnacentral:rRNA from 1 species